rnacentral:sRNA from 1 species
CAUGAGCGAGCACACCGCCGCCACGAUCCACGUCGGCGUGAACUCCAGCGUCGCCGGCUCCGCCGCCAU